rnacentral:SRP_RNA from 1 species
UCUCGGGCUUCGUGCAACGGGCGGCUGCAAACCCCGCCAGGUCCGGAAGGAAGCAACGGUAGUGGUUUAGCUCGUGUGCCGCGGAUCACCCGGGGCCU